AAGUUUGAUCCUGGCUCAGGACGAACGCUGGCGGCGUGCUUAACACAUGCAAGUCGAACGGUGAAGCCUUUCGGGGUGGAUCAGUGGCGAACGGGUGAGUAACACGUGAGCAACCUGCCCUUGACUCUGGGAUAACUCCGGGAAACCGGUGCUAAUACCGGAUAUGACGCACGACCGCAUGGUCUGUGUGUGGAAAGUUUUUCGGUCAAGGAUGGGCUCGCGGCCUAUCAGCUUGUUGGUGGGGUAACGGCCCACCAAGGCGACGACGGGUAGCCGGCCUGAGAGGGCGACCGGCCACACUGGGACUGAGACACGGCCCAGACUCCUACGGGAGGCAGCAGUGGGGAAUAUUGCGCAAUGGGCGAAAGCCUGACGCAGCGACGCCGCGUGAGGGAUGAAGGCCUUCGGGUCGUAAACCUCUUUCAGCAGGGAAGAAGCGAAAGUGACGGUACCUGCAGAAGAAGCACCGGCUAACUACGUGCCAGCAGCCGCGGUAAUACGUAGGGUGCAAGCGUUGUCCGGAAUUAUUGGGCGUAAAGAGCUCGUAGGCGGUCUGUCGCGUCUGCUGUGAAAACUCAGGGCUUAACCCUGAGCUUGCAGUGGGUACGGGCAGACUAGAGUGCGGUAGGAGAGACUGGAAUUCCUGGUGUAGCGGUGAAAUGCGUUGAGAUCGGAAGGAACGCCCGUGGCGAAAGCGAGGCCCUGUACCCUUACUGACGCUGAGACGCGAAAGCCAGGGGAGCGAACGGGAUUAGAUACCCCGGUAGUCCUGACCGUAAACGAUGAACACUGGUAGGGGCUCGCCGAUGGGCUCCCUGCCGUAGGGAAACUGUGAAGUGUUCCGCCUGGGAGUAUGGUCGCAAGCUGAAACUCAAACGAAAUUGACG
rnacentral:rRNA from 1 species